CACGUAGAUGGCUUUGUAAGUCGGGUGUGAAAUCCCCGGGCUCAAUCUGGGAACUGCAUUCGAAACUGCAUUGCUCGAGUGUGGAAGAGGGAAGCGGAAUUCCAGGUGUAGCGGUGAAAUGCGUAGAUAUCUGGAGGAACAUCAGUGGCGAAGGCGGCUUCCUGGUCCAACACUGACAUUCAGGUGCGAAAGCGUGGGGAGCAAACAGGAUUAGAUACCCUGGUAGUCCACGCCAUAAACGAUGAGAACUAGAUGUCGGGAGGGUUAGCCUUCCGGUGUCGCAGCUAACGCGUUAAGUUCUCCGCCUGGGGAGUACGGCCGCAAGGUUGAA
rnacentral:rRNA from 1 species